AACGAACGCUGGCGGCAUGCCUAACACAUGCAAGUCGAACGAGACCGCCGGGCUUAGGGGCGCACGGGUGGGGAAGGAGGGGGAACCUGCACGUAGGUUAGGAACAACUGACUGUAAGGGGAGCUAAGAACGGAGGAGGUCUUAGGGCCAAGGAUUUUUUGCCUUUGGGUGGGCGCGGGUUGGAUUAGGCAGUUGGUAGGGUACAAGCAUACCAAGGCGUCGAUGCAGGGCUGGUCGGAGAGGAUGCUCAGUCACACUUGGACUGCGACACGGACCAGAAUCCGACGCGAGGGAGCAGUAGGGAAUAUUAGACACUGGGCGAUAGCCUGAUACAGCAAUGCCGCGUGAGUGAUGCAGGCCUUAGGGUUGUAAAGCUCUUUUACCCGAGAUGAGAAUGACGGUACCGGGAGAAUAAGCUCCGGCUAACUCCGUG
rnacentral:rRNA from 1 species